GUUCAUAAUGCAUUGUUCUUACUUAUGUUAGAUAAUACCUAUCUUGGUGACAGAGAUAUUCCAAGAAAUGCCAGGGAUGACCGGACUUUUCAUUGCGGGACUACUCUGUGCUUCAUUGAGUACAUUGUCGAGUGGUUAUGCAGCUAUAUCUUCAAUGACUCUUCAAGACAUCAUCAAGAUCAAAUGGCCAAAUCUGUCAGAAAAAAAGUCGACAAUUGCUUCGAAAUUGACAGUUCUGGUUAUUUCAUUUUUAUCUGCGAGCAUUGCAUUAUUGUUUGCCAACAUUAAAGGAAGUUUACUUAAGGUA